UACCCGGAGGAAGAGAAAGAAAAAUCGAUUCCCUGAGUAGCGGCGAGCGAAACGGGAAUAGCCCAAACCAACAAGCUUGCUUGUUGGGGUUGUAGGACACUCUAUACGGAGUUACAAAAGAACAUGUUAGACGAAUCAUCUGGAAAGAUGAAUCAAAGAAGGUAAUAAUCCUGUAGUCGAAAACAUAUUCUCUCUUGAGUGGAUCCUGAGUACGACGGAGCACGUGAAAUUCCGUCGGAAUCUGGGAGGACCAUCUCCUAAGGCUAAAUACUCUCUAGUGACCGAUAGUGAACCAGUACCGUGAGGGAAAGGUGAAAAGUACCCCGGAAGGGGAGUGAAAGAGAACUUGAAACCGUGUGCUUACAAGUAGUCAGAGCCCGUUAAUGGGUGAUGGCGUGCCUUUUGUAGAAUGAACCGGCGAGUUACGAUCUGAUGCAAGGUUAAGCAGCAAAUGUGGAGCCGCAGCGAAAGCGAGUCUGAAUAGGGCGUUGAGUAUUUGGUCGUAGACCCGAAACCAGGUGAUCUACCCUUGGUCAGGUUGAAGUUCAGGUAACACUGAAUGGAGGACCGAACCGACUUACGUUGAAAAGUGAGCGGAUGAACUGAGGGUAGCGGAGAAAUUCCAAUCGAACUUGGAGAUAGCUGGUUCUCUCCGAAAUAGCUUUAGGGCUAGCCUCAAGUGAUGAUUAUUGGAGGUAGAGCACUGUUUGGACGAGGGGCCCCUCUCGGGUUACCGAAUUCAGACAAACUCCGAAUGCCAAUUAAUUUAACUUGGGAGUCAGAACAUGGGUGAUAAGGUCCGUGUUCGAAAGGGAAACAGCCCAGACCACCAGCUAAGGUCCCAAAAUAUAUGUUAAGUGGAAAAGGAUGUGGCGUUGCCCAGACAACUAGGAUGUUGGCUUAGAAGCAGCCAUCAUUUAAAGAGUGCGUAAUAGCUCACUAGUCGAGUGACACUGCGCCGAAAAUGUACCGGGGCUAAACAUAUUACCGAAGCUGUGGAUUGUCCUUUGGACAAUGGUAGGAGAGCGUUCUAAGGGCGUCGAAGCAUGAUCGCAAGGACAUGUGGAGCGCUUAGAAGUGAGAAUGCCGGUGUGAGUAGCGAAAGACGGGUGAGAAUCCCGUCCACCGAUUGACUAAGGUUUCCAGAGGAAGGCUCGUCCGCUCUGGGUUAGUCGGGUCCUAAGCUGAGGCCGACAGGCGUAGGCGAUGGAUAACAGGUUGAUAUUCCUGUACCACCUAGUAUCGUUUUAAUCGAUGGGGGGACGCAGUAGGAUAGGCGAAGCGUGCUGUUGGAGUGCACGUCCAAGCAGUAAGGCUGAGUGUUAGGCAAAUCCGGCACUCAUAAGGCUGAGCUGUGAUGGGGAGAGGAAAUUGUUUCCUCGAGUCGUUGAUUUCACACUGCCGAGAAAAGCCUCUAGAUAGAUAACAGGUGCCCGUACCGCAAACCGACACAGGUAGUCAAGAUGAGAAUUCUAAGGUGAGCGAGCGAACUCUCGUUAAGGAACUCGGCAAAAUGACCCCGUAACUUCGGGAGAAGGGGUGCUCUUUAGGGUUCACGCCCAGAAGAGCCGCAGUGAAUAGGCCCAAGCGACUGUUUAUCAAAAACACAGGUCUCUGCUAAACCGUAAGGUGAUGUAUAGGGGCUGACGCCUGCCCGGUGCUGGAAGGUUAAGAGGAGUGGUUAGCUUCUGCGAAGCUACGAAUCGAAGCCCCAGUAAACGGCGGCCGUAACUAUAACGGUCCUAAGGUAGCGAAAUUCCUUGUCGGGUAAGUUCCGACCCGCACGAAAGGCGUAACGAUUUGGGCACUGUCUCAACGAGAGACUCGGUGAAAUCAUAGUACCUGUGAAGAUGCAGGUUACCCGCGACAGGACGGAAAGACCCCGUGGAGCUUUACUGUAGCCUGAUAUUGAAAUUCGGCACAGCUUGUACAGGAUAGGUAGGAGCCUUUGAAACGUGAGCGCUAGCUUACGUGGAGGCGUUGGUGGGAUACUACCCUAGCUGUGUUGGCUUUCUAACCCGCACCACUUAUCGUGGUGGGAGACAGUGUCAGGCGGGCAGUUUGACUGGGGCGGUCGCCUCCUAAAAGGUAACGGAGGCGCUCAAAGGUUCCCUCAGAAUGGUUGGAAAUCAUUCAUAGAGUGUAAAGGCAUAAGGGAGCUUGACUGCGAGACCUACAAGUCGAGCAGGGUCGAAAGACGGACUUAGUGAUCCGGUGGUUCCGCAUGGAAGGGCCAUCGCUCAACGGAUAAAAGCUACCCCGGGGAUAACAGGCUUAUCUCCCCCAAGAGUUCACAUCGACGGGGAGGUUUGGCACCUCGAUGUCGGCUCAUCGCAUCCUGGGGCUGUAGUCGGUCCCAAGGGUUGGGCUGUUCGCCCAUUAAAGCGGUACGCGAGCUGGGUUCAGAACGUCGUGAGACAGUUCGGUCCCUAUCCGUCGUGGGCGUAGGAAAUUUGAGAGGAGCUGUCCUUAGUACGAGAGGACCGGGAUGGACAUACCUCUGGUGUACCAGUUGUCGUGCCAACGGCAUAGCUGGGUAGCUAUGUAUGGACGGGAUAAGUGCUGAAAGCAUCUAAGCAUGAAGCCCCCCUCAAGAUGAGAUUUCCCAACUUCGGUUAUAAGAUCCCUCGAAGAUGACGAGGUUAAUAGGUUCGAGGUGGAAGCGUGGUGACACGUGGAGCUGACGAAUACUAAUCGAUCGAAGACUUAAUCAA
rnacentral:rRNA from 1 species